CGAAGAAUAGUUUAAUUUAGAAUCCUGGCUUUGGGGGUCAGGGAUGGGGGUUAAAAUCCUCCUUUUUCGA
rnacentral:tRNA from 2 species